rnacentral:lncRNA from 1 species
ACGUCUACCUUUUUACAGAACCGAAAUUAUUUUACACGAAAGGACGGAUAUUAAGCGAUGCCGCCGACACACACCCUGCAAUUAAGCCACCUGUGAAUGCACGGAACGUGUGGCAACGGCAAGAAGCCGCCAAGGCUCUCGUUUGAGGAGCAAACACGCCCGUAAGCAUGGAUACGUGGACAUUUUUUAAAAGAAGAAGCUCAGAUUACAUCAAGACAGAUGGAGACAGAGAUGGUUUACCUGUAAGACAAGAUUUUGCUGUUGACAAUCCUCUUAUGUUCCUUCUUUUAUUAUUUGGAAAGAGUCCCAUAAGUCUACUUGUUUAAUUUUUAUUGCAACUAGAGUUGAAAAGUAGAU